UCCCAGAGUCCUUUUAUUUUUUUAUUAGAUAUUUUCCUUAUUUACAUUUCAAAUUUUAUCCCCUUUCCUCAUUUUCCCUCUGAAAACUCUACUAUCCCUUUCCCCCUCCCCCUGCUCACUAACCAACUCACUCCCUCGUCUUUGCCCUGACAUUCCCCUACACUGAGGCCCUUCACAAGACCAAGGGCCUCUCCUCUCAUUGAUGUCCUACAAGGCCAUCCUCAGCUACAUAUGCAGCUGGAGCCAUGGGUCCCUCCAUGUGCGCUCUUUGGCUGGUGAUUUUGUUCCUGGGAGCUCUCGGGGUACUGGUUGGUUCAUAUUGUUGUUCCUCCUAUGGAGCUGCAAACCACUUUAGUGCCUUGGGUCCUUUCUCUAGCUCCUCCACUGGGGACCCUGUGCUCAGUCCAAUGGAUGGCUAUGUGCAUUCACCUCUAUAUUUGUCAGGCACUGGCAAAGCCUCUCAGGAGAGAGCUAUAAUCAGGCUUCUGUAAGCAAGCACUUGUUGGCAUCCACAAUAGUGUCUAGGUUUGGUAACUGUUUAUGGAAUUGAUCCCCAGGUGGGACAGUCACUGGAUGGCCUUUCCUUCAGUUUCUGCUCAAAACAUUGUCUCUGUAUCUCCCCUCGUGGGUAUUUUGAUCCCCCUUCUAAGAAGGACGGAAGUAUCCACACUAUGGUCUUCCUUCUUCUUGAGCUUCAUGUGGUCUGUGAAUUGUAUCUUGGGUAUUCCGAACUUCUGGGCUAAUAUCUACUUAUCAGUGAGUGCACACCAUGUGUGUUCUUUUGUGAUUGGGUUACCUCACUCAGGAUGAUAUAUUCUAGUUUGAUCCAUUUGUCUAGGAACUUCAUGAAUUCAUCGUUUUUAAUAGCUGAGUAGUAAAAAGUAGUAAAAGUGGAAGAGGUGGCAGUAGAGCAAAGAAGUCACUGAAGAAUGGCUCAACUCACUCUGUUGACUUGAAAGAUUGUGGGGAUCACAAACCAAAGAUUUUAGCCUAGUAGUACUUGUUCCAGACCUCUUAUCUACAGAGCUGUAGGCUAAUGCAUGGGUGAGGUUUAAAACACUAAGUGUGCAGUCUUCUGGAACAGCAGUCAUAUGAAACCCCCAUAAUUCCUGAACAAGGUUGUUUGGAACACAAGGGUUCCUGCCACAAGAGUGAAGCUGCCACUGAGAGAUCCCAUUCCCAUGGAAGGGUUGUCCCAUGGGACAGGAAGAGUAACUGCACUUGGCCCUAACCAUUGAGCUCUAAAAUAACAAUACCCCAACAAGCACUUAGUCUGUGUGUGAACCACUGCCCAAGCUCUAGUUUAGUAUUAACUUAGACAACAUAUCAUAAGGACUGUGCGAAGUGGUGACUGUGGGUCUCUGUUUUACAGGGAGGAAAGAGAGACUCAGAAAAAUUAAAUGACUUGGUCAAAGCCACGGUCCUAUGCAUAGUGUUACUAGGAUCUGAAGCCACUCCCAGAAGCCAUUCUUUCUGGUGCUACACUAGAGAGAUAGUGGGCUAUCAUUUCUGCGUGACCCUUCUUCCCCCCUACCUCCCAGAGAUUCCCAGGCUCUUAGGUUGCCAGUUUGUCCUUCCUGGAUUCUUUCCAUACACAGAGCACAGCUUGUUCUUGUUUCUGUCCCUCUUUCUUAUCUGCAGCUAGGACAGCAGAAGUCCUUUUUUCAGAUUUGUGUUUAACUUUAGUGUGCUCAGGAGGCAGUGUGCAUGGCUCUGAUCCAGUCACCACACGGGCAAGGAAAGGCUGGAGAAAUAGUCCCAGCAUGCUAGUACAUUGCUUCAAAACAGCAGCUAGCAUGCCAGGCGUGGUAGUGGCACACGCCUUUAAUCCCAGAAAUUGGGAGGUAGAGGCAGGUGGAUGUGUGUGAGUUCAAGACCAGUCUGGCUGACAUAUUGAGUUUCAGGCUAGCCAGAGCUGCAGAGUGAGUGAUACCUUGUAUCAAAAACAAAC
ensembl:sense_intronic Gm43847 predicted gene 43847